CAGAUGUGUGGACUGUGCCUGACUAGAGAAUGGUGUAGCAGCCUUGGUGCUCCACAGCAUAUUGCACAGCUCUUUCCAAAACCCAUCAGGAAUAUUUGGAUUUCCAUCCACGCUCGACUGUGGGUGCAAACCCAGGAUCCUCAACACUGUGACAAGAUUUAUCUUCAUUACUUACCUGAUGCAGUGGGC